AAGACAGACGAGCAGUGUUCCUUCUGUUGGUGGAGAUGGUAUGAUCGAUCAAGUAUCGAAAGCUCUUGAGUUAGGGUUGUUGAUGCAGAAGAUUGUAGGUGCAUUGUUCAUGGAUUGCAGCAUCUAUGCUGUGGUGCUCGUAUGUGGUCUUUCCACGGCACAAAGACUCGGAUGGUAAAACUUCAUUUCGAACUGAAUGAAAAUGCAUGUAAGAUUACUGUCUAGUUUGACCCUAUUAGCUUGUUUGUAGGGUGAAUUGAAUAGUAAUAGAAAGUAGUGAAGAAGAAAUAUAAGUAAAACUUUGUCGUUAAAUUGUCUGGGGCUAUCUAGUCUACUUACCAAACGAACAUGUUUCGUUAUUCCUCAAUUUUGUCGUGAGCAAAGUUUUGCUCAAGUAGAUAUUUGUGAUUUUCCGAACAAGAUUUCUUUCAAGUAAUUUCAUUCUUGUCAUAUUUUUAGCAUUGUAAUCUUAAUAUUAAAGGAAGUUCCCAACAAAUUUUGCUUUUGGUCAGAAUAAAUGUGUCUCGGCAAGGAUGCG
rnacentral:lncRNA from 1 species